GACCCGACUGCUAUCAGAGUGGGACUAAGCCAUGCGAGUCAACAUAGCAAUAUGUGGCAUACGGCUCAGUAACACGUAGUCAACAUGCCCAGGGGACGUGGAUAACCUCGGGAAACUGAGGAUAAACCACGAUAAGUCACUACUUCUGGAAUGGGUAAUGACUCAAAUCUACAUGGCCCCUGGAUUGGACUGCGGCCGAUCAGGCUGUUGGUGAGGUAAUGGCCCACCAAACCUGUAACCGGUACGGGCUCUGAGAGGAGGAGCCCGGAGAUGGGCACUGAGACAAGGGCCCAGGCCCUAUGGGGCGCAGCAGGCGCGAAACCUCUGCAAUAGGCGAAAGCCUGACAGGGUUACUCUGAGUGAUUUCCGUUAAGGAGAUCUUUUGGCACCUCUAAAAAUGGUGCAGAAUAAGGGGUGGGCAAGUCUGGUGUCAGCCGCCGCGGUAAUACCAGCACCCCGAGUGGUCGGGACGUUUAUUGGGCCUAAAGCAUCCGUAGCCGGUUCUACAAGUCUUCCGUUAAAUCCACCUGCUUAACAGAUGGGCUGCGGAAGAUACUAUGGAGCUAGGAGGCGGGAGAGGCAAGCGGUACUCGAUGGGUAGGGGUAAAAUCCGUUGAUCCAUUGAAGACCACCAGUGGCGAAGGCGGCUUGCCAGAACGCGCUCGACGGUGAGGGAUGAAAGCUGGGGGAGCAAACCGGAUUAGAUACCCGGGUAGUCCCAGCUGUAAACGAUGCAGACUCGGUGAUGAGUUGGCUUUAUGCCAACUCAGUGCCGCAGGGAAGCCGUUAAGUUUGCCGCCUGGGGAGUACGGUCGCAAGACUGAAACUUAAAGGAAUUGGCGGGGGAGCACCACAAGGGGUGAAGCCUGCGGUUCAAUUGGAUCC
rnacentral:rRNA from 1 species